rnacentral:rRNA from 1 species
GACGAACGCUGGCGGCGUGCUUAACACAUGCAAGUCGAGCGAGGCCCACCUUUCGGGGUGGUGUCCCAGCGGCGAACGGGUGAGUAACACGUGGGCAACCUGCCCCCGGCUCGGGGAUAACCCCAAGAAAUUGGGGCUAAUACCGGAUACGACCGCUGACCGCAUGGUCUGGUGGUGGAAAGAUUUAUCGGCUGGGGAUGGGCCCGCGGCCUAUCAGCUUGUUGGUGGGGUAGUGGCCUACCAAGGCGACGACGGGUAGCCGGCCUGAGGGGGUGACCGGCCACACUGGGACUGAGACACGGCCCAGACUCCUACGGGAGGCAGCAGUGGGGAAUAUUGCGCAAUGGGCGGAAGCCUGACGCAGCGACGCCGCGUGGGGGAUGACGGCCUUCGGGUUGUAAACCUCUUUCAGCAGGGACGAAGCCGCGAGGUGACGGUACCUACAGAAGAAGCACCGGCCAACUACGUGCCAGCAGCCGCCGUAACAC